UACGAAGGGGGCUAGCGUUGCUCGGAUUGACUGGGCGUAAAGGGCGCGUAGGCGGUUCGUACAGUCAGACGUGAAAUUCCUGGGCUCAACCUGGGGGCUGCGUUUGAUACGUGCGGGCUUGAGUGCGGGAGAGGGAAGCGGAAUUCCUGGUGUAGAGGUGAAAUUCGUAGAUAUCAGGAGGAACACCGGUGGCGAAAGCGGCUUCCUGGCCCGACAUUGACGCUCAUGUACGAAAGCGUGGGGAGCAAACAGG
rnacentral:rRNA from 1 species